rnacentral:rRNA from 1 species
GAUGAACGCUGGCGGCGUGCCUAAUACAUGCAAGUCGAGCGAAUGGAUUAAGAGCUUGCUCUUAUGAAGUUAGCGGCGGACGGGUGAGUAACACGUGGGUAACCUGCCCAUAAGACUGGGAUAACUCCGGGAAACCGGGGCUAAUACCGGAUAACAUUUUGAACCGCAUGGUUCGAAAUUGACAGGCGGCUUCGGCUGCCACUUAUGGAUGGACCCGCGUCGCAUUAGCUAGUUGGUGAGGUAACGGCUCACCAAGGCAACGAUGCGUAGCCGACCUGAGAGGGUGAUCGGCCACACUGGACUGAGACACGGCCCAGACUCCUACGGGAGGCAGCAGUAGGGAAUCUUCCGCAAUGGACGAAAGUCUGACGGAGCAACGCCGCGUGAGUGAUGAAGGCUUUCGGGUCGUAAAACUCUGUUGUUAGGGAAGAACAAGUGCUAGUUGAAUAAGCUGGCACCUUGACGGUACCUAACCAGAAAGCCACGGCUAACUACGUGCCAGCAGCCGCCUAA